GCCUGGGUGGCUCAGUCGGUUGAGCGUCCGACUUCGGCUCAGGUCAUGAUCUCACAGUCUGUGGGUUCGAGCCCCACGUCGGGCU
rnacentral:tRNA from 1 species